rnacentral:rRNA from 1 species
GACGAACGCUGGCGGCGUGCUUAACACAUGCAAGUCGAACGCGCCUGUCCUCUGGGUUUCUGGGGGGUGGGUGAGUGGCGAACGGGUGAGUAACACGUGAGUAACCUGCCCCCUUCUUCGGGAUAACGGUCUGAAAGGGCUGCUAAUACCGGGUAUUCACUGGUCUCCGCAUGGGGUCUGGUGGAAAGGUUUUUUUCUGGUGGGGGAUGGGCUCGCGGCCUAUCAGCUUGUUGGUGGGGUGAUGGCCCACCAAGGCUUUGACGGGUAGCCGGCCUGAGAGGGUGACCGGGCACAUUGGGGCUGAGAUACGGCCCAGACUCCUACGGGAGGCAGCAGUGGGGAAUAUUGCACAAUGGGCGCAAGCCUGAUGCAGCGACGCGGCGUGAGGGAUGGAGGCCUUCGGGUUGUGAACCUCUUUCGCCCGUGGUCAAGCCGCGACGUGGGUCGUGGUGAGGGUAGUGGGUAAAGAAGCGCCGGCUAACUACGUG